AGAGUUUGAUCCUGGCUCAGGAUGAACGCUAGCGGCAGGCCUAACACAUGCAAGUCGAGGGGCAGCACGGUGUAGCAAUACACUGGUGGCGACCGGCGCACGGGUGCGUAACGCGUAUGCAACCUACCCAUAACAGGGGGAUAACACUGAGAAAUUGGUACUAAUACCCCAUAACAUCAGGACCGGCAUCGGUUCUGGUUGAAAACUCCGGUGGUUAUGGAUGGGCAUGCGUUGUAUUAGCUGGUUGGUGAGGUAACGGCUCACCAAGGCAACGAUACAUAGGGGGACUGAGAGGUUAACCCCCCACAUUGGUACUGAGACACGGACCAAACUCCUACGGGAGGCAGCAGUGAGGAAUAUUGGUCAAUGGACGCAAGUCUGAACCAGCCAUGCCGCGUGCAGGAAGACGGCUCUAUGAGUUGUAAACUGCUUUUGUACGAGAGUAAACGCUCUUACGUGUAAGAGCCUGAAAGUAUCGUACGAAUAAGGAUCGGCUAACUCCGUGCCAGCAGCCGCGGUAAUACGGAGGAUCCAAGCGUUAUCCGGAUUUAUUGGGUUUAAAGGGUGCGUAGGCGGUUUGAUAAGUUAGAGGUGAAAUACCGGUGCUUAACACCGGAACUGCCUCUAAUACUGUUGAACUAGAGAGUAGUUGCGGUAGGCGGAAUGUAUGGUGUAGCGGUGAAAUGCUUAGAGAUCAUACAGAACACCGAUUGCGAAGGCAGCUUACCAAACUAUAUCUGACGUUGAGGCACGAAAGCGUGGGGAGCAAACAGGAUUAGAUACCCUGGUAGUCCACGCAGUAAACGAUGAUAACUCGCUGUCGGCGAUACACGGUCGGCGGCUAAGCGAAAGCGAUAAGUUAUCCACCUGGGGAGUACGUUCGCAAGAAUGAAACUCAAAGGAAUUGACGGGGGCCCGCACAAGCGGAGGAACAUGUG
rnacentral:rRNA from 1 species